AUUGAACGCUGGCGGCAUGCUUUACACAUGCAAGUCGAACGGUAACAGGCCGCAAGGUGCUGACGAGUGGCGAACGGGUGAGUAAUGCAUCGGAACGUGCCCAGUCGUGGGGGAUAACGCAGCGAAAGUUGCGCUAAUACCGCAUACGAUCUAUGGAUGAAAGCGGGGGACCGUAAGGCCUCGCGCGAUUGGAGCGGCCGAUGUCAGAUUAGGUAGUUGGUGGGGUAAAGGCUCACCAAGCCGACGAUCUGUAGCUGGUCUGAGAGGACGACCAGCCACACUGGGACUGAGACACGGCCCAGACUCCUACGGGAGGCAGCAGUGGGGAAUUUUGGACAAUGGGCGCAAGCCUGAUCCAGCAAUGCCGCGUGCAGGAAGAAGGCCUUCGGGUUGUAAACUGCUUUUGUACGGAACGAAACGGUCCUGGUUAAUACCCGGGGCUAAUGACGGUACCGUAAGAAUAAGCACCGGCUAACUACGUGCCAGCAGCCGCCGUAA
rnacentral:rRNA from 1 species